AAAAUAGCUCAAUUGGUAGAGCAACUGAAUCGUAAUCAGUAGGUUGGGGGUUCGAUUCCUCUUUUUGGC
rnacentral:tRNA from 1 species